rnacentral:rRNA from 1 species
CCUACGGGUGGCAGCAGUGGGGAAUAUUGCGCAAUGGGCGAAACCCUGAUGCAGCAACGCCGCGUGAGGGAAGAAGGUUUUCGGAUUGUAAACUUCUGUUCUUAGUGAAGAAUAAUGACGGUAGCUAAGGAGCAAGCCACGACUAACUACGUGCCAGCAGCCGCGGUAAAACGUAGGUGGCAAGCGUUGUCAGGAAUUACUGGGUGUAAAGGGAGCGCAGGCGGGGGGCCAAGUCAGCUGUGAAAACUACGGGCUUAACUUGUAGACUGCCGUUGAAACUGGUGUUCUUGAGUGAAGUAGAGGUUGGCGGAAUUCCGGGUGUAGCGGUGAAAUGCGUAGAUAUUCGGAGGAACACCGGUGGCGAAGGCGGCCAACUGGGCUUUAACUGACGCUGAGGCUCGAAAGUGUGGGGAGCAAACAGGAUUAGAUACCCGAGUAGUC